rnacentral:rRNA from 1 species
AUGCACGCUGGCGGCGUGCCUCAUACAUGCAAGUCGAGCGAACAGGCGAGGAGCUUGCUCCUCUGACGUUAGCGGCGGACGGGUGAGUAACACGUGGAUAACCUACCUAUAAGACUGGGAUAACUUCGGGAAACCGGAGCUAAUACCGGAUAAUAUAUUGAACCGCAUGGUUCAAUAGUGAAAGACGGUUUUGCUGUCACUUAUAGAUGGAUCCGCGCCGCAUUAGCUAGUUGGUAAGGUAACGGCUUACCAAGGCAACGAUGCGUAGCCGACCUGAGAGGGUGAUCGGCCACACUGGAACUGAGACACGGUCCAGACUCCUACGGGAGGCAGCAGUAGGGAAUCUUCCGCAAUGGGCGAAAGCUUGACGGAGCAACGCCGCGUGAGUGAUGAAGGUCUUCGGAUCGUAAAACUCUGUUAUUAGGGAAGAACAAAUGUGUAAGUAACUAUGCACGUCUUGACGGUACCUAAUCAGAAAGCCACGGCUAACUACGUG